AUUCUGCCCAUGCGGGGAAGGAUGAGAAGCUUCGACUAAGGUUCGGCUCGAGCGUCAGCGAGAGAGCGUUGCCGCAGGCGAAGCGCGCAGCGCUGAGUAAUCCUUCCCCCACCACCA
rnacentral:sRNA from 1 species